rnacentral:rRNA from 1 species
AACGAACGCUGGCGGCGUGCCUAACACAUGCAAGUCGAACGAGAAAGGGGCUUCGGCUCCGAGUAAAGUGGCGCACGGGUGAGUAACACGUGGGUAACCUGCCUCUAAGAUUGGGAUAACUCGUCGAAAGAUGAGCUAAUACCGAAUAAGACCACAGUUCCCGCGGGAACAGGGGUCAAAGGUAGCCUCUGCUUGCAAGCUAUCACUUAGAGAUGGGCCUGCGCACCAUUAGCUAGUUGGUAGGGUAACGGCCUACCAAGGCAAAGAUGGUUAGCUGGUCUGAGAGGAUGAUCAGCCACACUGGAACUGAGACACGGUCCAGACUCCUACGGGAGGCAGCAGUGGGGAAUAUUGCGCAAGGGGCGAAAGCUUGACGCAGCAACGCCGCGUGAGUGAGGAAGGCCUUCGGGUCGUAAAGCUCUGUCGGGAGGAACGAAUGCUCCUGAGGUUAACAGCCUCGGGAGGUGACGGUACCUUCAAAGGAAGCACCGGCUAACUCUGUG